CUCUUUCUUCACAUGGUAUCAGAGUUUCUCUCUCUACAAUCUCCAUUGUUUCUCUGGUUCGACAUAUCUGAUUUUUCUUCUUCUCUGCCCUAAGUUUAAUGGCUAUCCAUGGUGACCACUCUAGGUCUCUCUUUUGGAACAGCUCCGCGCAACCUCCUCUGCUUCAUCUAUGGCGGUCUUCACUCCAGUCUCGUUUGCUCACAAGCUUGCAACCAGACUCGAUGGUAGCACCUACCUCCUUUGGAAACCUCAAGUCAUUUCCACCAUUAGAGGUCACAAGCUUGAAGAUUAUAUUUCUUCAACCUAUACUCCACCGCCUCGCUUUCUGAGUGAUACUGAUAAAAUUACAAGGACGGUGAAUCCUGCCUUUGUUGAUUGGUACCAGCAGGAUCAACUUCUCUACUUGUGGCUCUUGUCGUCGAUGACUCCACUUAUCCUCACUUGUGUGAUCAACAGUCAGUUAUGUGCCCAACUGUGGUUAGUUUUGGAGACCUAUUUUGCCUCUCAGUCAAAAGCAAAGCUUGAUCAAUUAUCAACUUAAUUGCAAAACAUCAAGAAAUGCUCUCUCACUCUUAAACUAUUUGCUCAAGGUUUGGUCUCUAAUUAAUCAACUCAGCUCCAUUGGCCAUUAUAUGUCUCCUAAGGAGUAUAUUGCUGCAAUUUUUUGUGGAUUGCCUUCUCCAUAUUAUGAUACCUUCAUCAUCUGAGCCAAUUCUAAAUCUGAACCUCUCAUUGUGACUGCUUUUGAAGCACUUCUUCUUGCUCAAGAACAUCGAAUUGAGAGGCAACACAAAGAUUUGGACUCUGUGUCUGUGAAUUUGGCCAAUGCGAAUUGUUGGACUCGUGGUGGUAUGUCUACCAAUUCUGGCCGUGGACAUUGGAAUCUGUUUGCUACUGGUGCUCGGAAUGGCAAUUUUUCAAGCAAUCAAUGUGCUUUUGGUACCAAUACCUUAGGUUCUCAAUCUAGUUCUAAUGGAUGGGGUGUGUACUCUUCUCCCUCUCCUGGUUUCACUUCUGGAUGUGGUACUACUUCCUCUAGUGCUCGUCCGAUAUGUCAACUUUGUCAAAGAUCUUGUCAGUUUUCAUCAAAGUGUUACCAAUGACUCAAUCCAAUAUUUCCUGGUUUUGGAGCUGUUUCGAUUGAUCGAUCUCCCAGUGCUACUUUUGCGAUGGUGGCUACUGCUGAAACUGUCUGUGAUGAGUCUUGGUAUCAAGAUUCGGGAACCACCAACCAUUGCACUGCUAAUGAGGGAAAUUUGACUCAAAAGGGUGAAUUCUGUGGAUCUGAACAAGUUCGUAUGGGCAGUGGAGCUGGCUUAACCAUUUAGAAUGUUGGAUAAGGUUUCCAAGAAAGUGCUGAUGCAGGGUACACUUAGCAAUGGUCUAUAUGCCUUCCCACCUCUGUUUGUGUCUCCCUACUCCACUGCUCCAUCUCAGUCCAUGUUACAAGAGUCUACUUUGUCUUGUAAUACUUCUCAAGUUGUAAACACCAAUAAUAAUGACCAUUCUUUGUUCAAUUUGCGGCAUAGUCAUCUUGGGCACCCUGCUGCCAAGACAGUUCAACCUGUAAUGACCAAUCGUAAUGUUUCUUAUAGCAAUAAAAGUAUCUCAAAUUUUUGUUCA